UUAUGGCCAUAUCACAUUGAAACUACCAGUUCAUGUACAAUCACCAAAGUUAAGCAAUAUUGAGCCUGGUCUGUACCUAGGUGGGUGACUACUUGGGAAUGCCAGGUCCUGUA